rnacentral:pre_miRNA from 1 species
AUAUAAAUCACACAGGGUUCUUGUUAAAACAAAGGUUCUAAUUCUGUAGAUCUGCUGUGAGAUUUACAGUGCUGCAUUCUAACAAGCUCUUGGGUGAUGUCAGU